rnacentral:snRNA from 1 species
GUUCUUACCAGGCGGGGGAGAUACCAUGACGGUGAAGGUGGUUUCUCCAGAGCGAGGCUCAUCCGCUCGCUGCGCUCCAGUGUGCACGCCCCUGCGACGUCCCCAAGUGUGGGAAGCUGGACUGCGCAAUCUGUGGUAGUGGGGGCUGCGUUUGUGCUUUCCACU